CAGUCGCCGCGGGAAUACGGAGGGAGCUAGCGUUGUUCGGAAUUACUGGGCGUAAAGCGCGCGUAGGCGGUUACUCAAGUCAGAGGUGAAAGCCCGGGGCUCAACCCCGGAACUGCCUUUGAAACUAGGUGACUAGAAUCUUGGAGAGGUCAGUGGAAUUCCGAGUGUAGAGGUGAAAUUCGUAGAUAUUCGGAAGAACACCAGUGGCGAAGGCGACUGACUGGACAAGUAUUGACGCUGAGGUGCGAAAGCGUGGGGAGCAAACAGGAUUAGAUACCCCCGUAGUCCCUGUCUCUUAUAC
rnacentral:rRNA from 1 species